rnacentral:rRNA from 1 species
ACAGCAGUAGCCGCGGGAAUACGUAGGGUGCAAGCGUUAAUCGGAAUCACUGGGCGUAAAGCGUGCGCAGGCGGUUAUAUAAGACAGAUGUGAAAUCCCCGGGCUCAACCUGGGAACUGCAUUUGUGACUGUAUAGCUAGAGUACGGCAGAGGGGGAUGGAAUUCCGCGUGUAGCAGUGAAAUGCGUAGAUAUGCGGAGGAACACCGAUGGCGAAGGCAAUCCCCUGGGCCUGUACUGACGCUCAUGCACGAAAGCGUGGGGAGCAAACAGGAUUAGAUACCCGUGUAGUCCCUGUCUCUUAUAC